UACGAAGGGGGCUAGCGUUGUUCGGAAUUACUGGGCGUAAAGCGCACGUAGGCGGACUAUUAAGUCAGGGGUGAAAUCCCGGGGCUCAACUCCGGAACUGCCUUUGAUACUGGUAGUCUCGAGUCCGGAAGAGGUGAGUGGAAUUCCGAGUGUAGAGGUGAAAUUCGUAGAUAUUCGGAGGAACACCAGUGGCGAAGGCGGCUCACUGGUCCGGUACUGACGCUGAGGUGCGAAAGCGUGGGGAGCAAACAGG
rnacentral:rRNA from 1 species